UCGAAAUAUGACAGCAUUUUUGUUGUAUGAUCCAGUACGCCAUUCGACGCUCAACCGAAGUUAAUCAGGACUCAAACUCAAUCCUAAACAAUAUCAGCGAGGCCAGCGUGUCAUCUCAGCUUGUUGAGCUUCAGCAAACAUGAGCCAACAAGACAAACAUUAUUGUACAAUCCCGACCCCCUUUUGCAAAAAUAUUACAACUCUCUCAAGAAAUUCAGCACGAAAUCCUCUUGUGUCAGCCUUACAUGCUUCCUAUCAAGAUAUUUUCCCAUGUUUGCUUCAUCAACACUUCCAACAGCGGAUCCUUGGUAAUUUAGACUUCCGUUCCAGCGUGGAUGAGGCUUAGCAAUAAAUUGAUGCUGGGCAACGGCAAAUUGUUCGGGACGAGUCGCUCGAAUUGAAACGAUCUGACCCAACAGAUAGCUUAUAGUGAUGUGUCCAUUAAUGUGACUGACCUCGAUAUGUUGCUUUUAAAUAAUGCGAACCUUACACCAGAAGAACAGUCUGCGAGCAAUUAAGGCCAUUUAACAACCGUUGUUGUCUGGAAUUCACGGCUUUGGGUUGACGAAUUUGGCGUCAGGACUUGCUCUAUCUCUGUCUACGGCAGCAGCAGCAGAAACAACAAAAAAAACAGAUUGGUAACCAGCUGUACAACAGGCUCUCUUGCCAGCUGGGCCCAGACACCCAGGGACACUUCCUUCGCAUGGGUGGUGGUGGGUGGCUCUCGGCGAAGGACUUUUGGGCAGUUCAACGUGUCCUACUCGCAGAGUGCAGCCAAUCUAAACAUGGGGCUCCACAUUUUCCUGGUCAAGAUUACCUUAUCCAAAUAGUAGAUUGAAGCCUUAUCCUCAAAAGUUCAGGUCCAAAGAAAGAUGGUGACCAACUGCAACUCAGCCACUUCAUCUCAAUAGUGAACAAGGCACCCUUCCUAAACCCUCGCCGACUGCGCUAAACGGGAACCUUAAUAUACAUGAGAUUCCAGGCGGAAUGUAAAAUCUGUACCACUCUGAUCUCCAGUAGCAGCCCCAGCCGUGGGAGGCCGAUUCAUGAUGCACCUAUGGCCUUAAUUAUCUCUGAACAUCCCAACCUCACAUGACCUGUAGGGCGGGGAUGUAUAUAAAUGAUCAUUAAAUCCCACAAACCAAGGAGAGGUUAUAUUGGAGUCAAUUUUAUUGGUUUGUGUUCAGUGUCAAGCAGUAUCCUAGCAAUCAAGUCAAGUCAGCGCAGCAGCAACAACAGAUGCAGCAGCAGUCGUACGCAAUACAUCAACAACACUGGAAAACCGGAUAACAAAGCGUUGAUUUUGUUCUGGAUGCAUUAGCAGUCACAGUACAUGAACCGACAGUAGUCAUCUUCUCGAGAUUCUGGCCUCUGAACCAUCAGUCUAUGAACAUAAUGCAGAGCAAUCUAGGGACGCCAAUUGACGAAAUCAAACUGACCAAUCAGCAACAAAGCCUGUUGCAGCAGUUGUUACCAUAUUGACCCCAGUCAAAUCAUGGAAGCUUAGACAUAAAUACUGUUUAAGAUGUGCCAGUCUCUACAGACCUCGUGGUCUGUUAAGCACUUACUCUGACAGGUGUCAUCUUUGGAUUUUGGGACGGGUGGAAAAUGAAUAACCUUGUUCAGAUUGAAAUGGCAGAAUGAAAAAGCACAAUUCACGCGAAAAGCCAUAUAUUAAUUUGACCAGCCAUGGUUUGUUGGAAGAAAAACAAUCUGUCAUGUAUUAUGGAAACUUUGACGCUGUCAGUCAUUAACAAUUGAUGAGAUAUGUUAAAUCUUUUUAAGUAUAAUGAGAUUAAGGUAACUUGAUAAAGGCGUGUAUGUUAAGUAAUACUUUAAGCCCACAUAUUGCACGUCUGUAUAAUUACUUUGUUUGUAUUACGACACUUGCAUCUGAUAACGUUAUAUGCAUGGAAAAUAAAUUUUACUUCAGACAUUCUUUCAUACAUUGAGCUUGUGAUAAUUCAAAGCUGUUUAAAUGAUGCUGGUAACUUGGACGCAAUCACAAAAUAUGUAUUGGAUUCGGUUCAUGUAACUUGUAAUGCUGGUAACUUGGACGCAAUCACAAAAUAUGUAUUGGAUUCUGUUCAUGUAAUAAGCAUGUUUCAGUUUUCUGUUUUUACAUGCAAUAUAGAAAUGCUAGCUAAAAUAACUGUGCAGAAAGGUUGAGAGUUUGAGGCUUCCUAUUUGAUCUGUCUGUCUUUUUCUAUACAAUAAUCUUAUUAAGUUUGCUCAUCUGGGUCCGUAUUUUAUCAAGAAUCUUGUUAAGUAUGGCAGUAUUUGAAAUGAAUAUAAAUUGAAUGUAGACAACAUUAUUUA